CACCAUGUGGCUCAGAUGAUUAGUUUUUCUUCACACAGUCCGAACUGGCAAAGUGUGUUGGGAAUAAGAUAAGCAUAAUUUAUUUGGUGCUGGCAGACAAUGGAGCAGAUGUGAUUCACACCAGAAGAUCUGAUUAAAAAAAAAAAGAGUUGGGCACUGCUUUCUUACAAAUCUGGAGUUACCACAUGAGGGGCUUCUAGUGCUCCUGCGAUUGUAAGGUGGUCAUUCUCGGAGCUGAUUGGUUUAAUGGCCUUUAUCAUCCUAAGGGCUGGAAACUCUGAGGAUGCUAUGGCAAGGGCCUCUGCAGAUCAGGAUGAGACUCUCCACCUCUUGUUUGUCCAAAGGGUUCUCUGAGUGGCCUCAGGACCCAAAAUACGAGACAGCAGGAGUGAGAGCUUGGUAUCGUCACAGUGCUACAUUGAUGAUGUGAGAAGAGCCUCGGAAAGAGAAGCUGGAAUCAAGAUCAAAGAGCAGAGCAAAUGAAUUUGUAGGCUUUGUACUACUGUCUCUUUGUAUUAAAGAAUUGUACUGUAGCCGUG